rnacentral:rRNA from 14 species
GUCUAUGGCCACACCACCCAGAGCACACCCAGCCUUGUCUGAACUUGGAAGCUAAGCAGGGUCCGACCUGGUUCAUACUUGGAUGGGAGAAUAAGACAAGAGCAGGCACAAGGUAUAUACU